rnacentral:rRNA from 1 species
UACGUAGGGUGCAAGCGUUUGUCCGGAAUUAUUGGGCGUAAAGAGCUCGUAGGCGGUUUGUCGCGUCGAAUGUGAAAACCCGGGGCUCAACCCCGGGCCUGCAUUCGAUACGGGCAGACUAGAGUUCGGUAGGGGAGUCUGGAAUUCCUGGUGUAGCGGUGAAAUGCGCAGAUAUCAGGAGGAACACCGGUGGCGAAGGCGGGACUCUGGGCCGAUACUGACGCUGAGGAGCGAAAGCGUGGGGAGCGAACAGG